CUACGGGUGGCUGCAGUGGGGAAUAUUGGACAAUGGGGGAAACCCUGAUCCAGCAAUGCCGCGUGUGUGAAGAAGGCCUGCGGGUUGUAAAGCACUUUCGGUUGGGAGGACUGCUUCUAGCACUAAUAUUGUUGGAAGUUGACGUUACCUUCAGAAGAAGCACCGGCUAACUCCGUGCCAGCAGCCGCGGUAAUACGGAGGGUGCAAGCGUUAAUCGGAAUUACUGGGCGUAAAGCGCGCGUAGGCGGCUAGAUCAGUCGGGUGUGAAAGCCCCGGGCUUAACCUGGGAACUGCAUCCGAUACUGUCUAGAUUGAGUACAGGAGAGGAGAGUGGAAUUCCACAUGUAGCGGUGAAAUGCGUAGAUAUGUGGAGGAACACCAAUGGCGAAGGCAGCUCUCUGGCCUGAUACUGACGCUGUGGUGCGAAAGCGUGGGGAGCAAACAAGAUUAGAUACCCCGGUAGUC
rnacentral:rRNA from 1 species